GCUCCAUGUACAGCACUUUGUAUGCAGCGAUGGCUGUUUGAAAGUGCUCUAUAAAUACAGCUGAGUUGACAAGACAUUUUUCACAACAGGGGGUUUUUCACUGUAACAAAUUUGAUCUCAGAUGUAAACACACACACACACACACACACACAAAC